rnacentral:lncRNA from 1 species
AAUUGUAAGAGGCAGCUUUUAAUCAAAAUUUCAGAAUUCUUUUCAUGCCUUUGGCGUGUAUUGCUUUGAGUGAGAGUGAGAAUUUGCUUUCAUCAAUUGCACCAGGAAUCUUGGCUAACUUAUCAACUAUUCGUUGUGGCGUUUGUCAGAUUCUCAUCUAAAUCCUUCGAUCAUUGGUGUUUCAGCUUCUCUAAGUGUGGG